UUCAGAGGUCCGCAUCCGGAAUAAUCGCUCUUGCUGCCAGGACCGGGGUGGGGUGGGCGGUGCCCAGCGCGGGAGGCGUUAGUUCAAUGUGUAGCCUCUUCCCGGGGUCAGCCGCGCGUCGGUAAUCGCUUCUGCAGGUCCCUUCCUUUUCUAGAAGUUUAUUGCUGCUCUUCUGGGGCUGUGAGUGCCUACCCUCCGAGGGAAGUUAAACCCGGAAAUGUGGGAGAAAGGAUAGGUUCUUAUAAGACACAUACAAGGAAAAAAUACCAGGGAACGUGGCCCUGACUAAGUCAGCUACCACGGAGAUCCUAUCCUUGGUUAAUGUUUUCCUACUUUUGGGACAUAAUUUACAUUGCUUAGGUACAAUCAGAUUCCAAUUAUUCUUUCCUUGCUUACUCUCUAGUCACUGUGAUUGGAUUUGGAUAUUUAGUCUUCAAAGUCUUCAAAUAUUUAAGGACAAUCACUCCGGCUAUGCCUUAUCUUCCAAAGGGUGAUCUUGUUAUUGAUUGCUUUCUACUUUCAUUCUUAGAGGAAAAGCUAAUAAGAAAAGUGAGCCCCACCAACCUUACAUGCCAAAAUAAAUUUUAAUGAAUUGAGUGUUCUUAAUAAAAAUUAGGUGGAAUGUGAAAGCCAUUAACAUUUAUACAGUAGCUAAAUGAGCCAAGACAUAAACAAAGCUAAUUCACAAAUGGGGAAAUAAAAGAAUAAACAUGAAAAAAAGUUCCAGGUGUUGAAACGCUGCGUCCAGGGAUCGCUUUCGGGAACG